rnacentral:rRNA from 1 species
GAUGAACGCUGGCGGCGUGCCUAAUACAUGCAAGUCGAGCGAACAGACGAGGAGCUUGCUCCUCUGACGUUAGCGGCGGACGGGUGAGUAACACGUGGAUAACCUACCUAUAAGACUGGGGUAACUUCGGGAAACCGGAGCUAAUACCGGACAAUAUAUUGAACCGCAUGGUUCAAUAGUGAAAGACGGUUUUGCUGUCACUUAUAGAUGGAUCCGCGCCGCAUUAGCUAGUUGGUAAGGUAACGGCUUACCAAGGCAACGAUGCGUAGCCGACCUGAGAGGGUGAUCGGCCACACUGGAACUGAGACACGGUCCAGACUCCUACGGGAGGCAGCAGUAGGGAAUCUUCCGCAAUGGGCGAAAGCCUGACGGAGCAACGCCGCGUGAGUGAUGAAGGUCUUCGGAUCGUAAAACUCUGUUAUUAGGGAAGAACAAAUGUGUAAGUAACUAUGCACGUCUUGACGGUACCUAAUCAGAAAGCCACGGCUAACUACGUG